GAACUCCCUCUCCCACUGCUAUCCCUUUGCUCUCUCUUUCCCGUCUCUCUUCUGCUCGUCCCCACCGCAAGCCCGGCCAGCCGGCAGCGAGCCUCCGCCGUCCGCCGCGAGCCCCAGCCCCGGCCCCUCACCUCCCCGCGCCGCCCACGGCCGGUGCCUCCGUUCUCUCGCGUUCCUUCUCUCUCCCUCUCUCUCUCUCUCUCUCUCUCUCUCUCUC
rnacentral:lncRNA from 1 species